GACAGAGGUGGCAAGCGUUGUUCGGAUUCAUUGGGUGUAAAGGGCAGGUAGGCUGUUUUGUAAGUCCGGCGUGAAAUCCCAGGGCUCAACCCUGGAACUGCGUUGGAAACUGCAUGACUUGAGUACUGUAGAGGUGUGGGGAAUUCUCGGUGUAAGGGUGAAAUCUGUAGAUAUCGAGAGGAACACCAGUGGCGAAGGCGCCACACUGGACAGUUACUGACGCUGAGCUGCGAAAGCAAGGGGAGCAAACAGG
rnacentral:rRNA from 1 species